AUGACGGGGAAAAGAAACUGGUUUUCCCCCUGGAAAAAGAAUAGUAGCAGCACAGAAAGGCAUUACGAGGCGAUGAUAGCAUCGUAUGGAGCACUUGCUCCAAAAAGAUACAUGUACUCAGAGGUCAUGAAGAUAACGUCUUCUCGCAAUAAAAAGCUUGGUCAGGGUGGUUAUGGUGUGGUUUUCGAAGGAAAGCUACAUGAUGGUCAUCUGGUUGCUGUCAAAUUCUUGCAUGACUGCAAAGGAAACGGGGAGGAGUUUGUGAAUGAGGUUAUGAGCAUUGGCAGGACUUCUCAAGUGAAUAUUGUUAGCCUACUUGGAUUUUGUUUGGAGGGAUCAAAACGAGCUCUUAUAUAUGAGUACAUGUGCAAUGGUUCCAUGGAUAGAUACAUUUACUCAGAGAACCCAAAAGAAAUUUUAGGAUGGGAGAGGCUCUAUGCAAUAGCGAUUGGGAUAGCUCGUGGACUAGAAUAUUUGCACAAUAGCUGUAAUACACGGAUUGUCCAUUUUGACAUUAAGCUUCAAAAUAUCCUUCUAGACAAGGAUUUUUGCCCAAAGAUUGCCGAUUUUUGGCCUUGCUAA
rnacentral:rRNA from 1 species